GAUGAACGCUAGCUACAGGCUUAACACAUGCAAGUCGAGGGACCGGCGCACGGGUGAGUAACACGUAACCAACCUGCCCUUUACUCGGGGAUAGACUUUCGAAAGAAAGAUUAAUACCCGAUGUAAAGGAUGGGGAUGCGUUCCAUUAGGUUGUUGGUGAGGUAACGGCUCACCAAGCCUUCGAUGGAUAGGGGUUCUGAGAGGAAGGUACCCCACAUUGGAACUGCGACACAGACCAAACUCCUACGCGAGGCAGCAGUGAAGAAUAUUGGUCAAGGGACUUUAGCCUGAACCAGCCGAGUAGCGUGAAGGAUGAUGGCUUUUGGGUCGUAAACUUCUUGUAUGUAAGAAUAUGUAUUAGAUGAAGAAGGAUCGGCUAACUCCGUGCCAGCAGCCGCGGUAAUAC
rnacentral:rRNA from 1 species